AGGAAAUGAACCCAAGUCCAUGAAACACUCCUUGAGCACCAUCUUGUCAUCUGGGACUGCAUCUAAGGUGCCUUUGAGGCACUCCAGAAGCUCUUUCUCAGAACCCAGAAUAGAAUCUCCUCUAGAUAAUUUCCUCUCUGUAACUUUCCAAACCGAAGUAGCUCUCCCCGAAAGUGAUCUUGCAAUCACUUUCAGUGCAAGUGGGAAU
rnacentral:misc_RNA from 1 species